GCAUUACUAAUGAUUUUUUGACUCCUGGUUUUCCAAUCCAAAAGUAUGUUGCAUGUGGGGAUGUACACAUAUUUUCACUUCCCAACCUAUUGCCAAUCCCCUUGUUUCCUUUGCAUUUCUAUGAUGUCUCUAACAAACAGCAGAUCUGUCACAAUUUUUUCCAAAUUCCACAUUGCCUAAUAUCCUCAAAUAACUUUGUUGUAAAAAAAAAAAAAAAAACAAACCUGCACCUUCGGUCUUUCACUUGAUAUUUUACCAUAGAAUCUGAAAGCUUUAUUCUCUCCUGUUUUUUGCUUUAUUUUCCUUAGCUGAGUACAUUUCCAUUCUUUACAAUACCAUUUGAAACUACAGGCUUUGCAGUGAGCUUCUUUAUUGUGCUGACUUCAUGCUAGCAUGUACAACUCCUUUUGACUUCACUGUGGGUCUCUGCAGAGGGGCUAUUUCCUUUGGUGUAGGCACUGUAGAGGGCUAUCCCAUACAUCUUUGUACUGCUGCCACUGACACUAUAGGAAGGUCCUUACAGCAUAUGGGGAAAUGCCUGUAAAAAGCUAGCUGGAAGUCACUGUCUCAUGCCUGUGGGUAAGCUCUCAAAAUCUCAUGAUUCCUCUGUUAGCAUCCUGUAAUGCACUCUUUCUAUUGUCUUUGAAGAAUGUGAGAAGUUGCAGCAGUUAGAUCUGAUGGACUAUGCGUAGUUGUCAGAGCAGACACUCAAAAAAACACAUUAGCAAAAGGAAAUACCUUAGCUGACAUGGCUGCUUAAGGCACAGUUAUAACAGCCUCUCCUCCAGUGGCUCUGGGAAAUAGCUUAGUGGUGUGAGGGACAGACACAAGGGGUUAUCAGCAGUCAGAAAAGCAAAAGCAGAACAAAUCCAACAAAUCCAAACAACCAAUGAAGAGAUGAAACCACUGCUAAUUGUACCAGCCAUAGACAGGAAUGCCACGUUAGAAGUCUCCCAAAGUACUGCAAGGUAUUCUGUGCAUGGUCAGUGAGGAAAGAAGGUGUCUGGAUGGCACAAAGAAAUAUCAAAACACUUAUUGCACUGCCUGAAGGAAGUCACCUUAUGCUGUCCAAAUCAAAAGGAAGCUAGGUGCACUGCUUGCUGGGUGGGAUGGAAAAGAAUUGCAAAUGUAUAUUAAUGGUUGUCUGCUCUUUGCCAGCAAAACCAGGGCAAAGAGCUCAGAAGAGAAGCUUUGAUGAGACUGCCUUCUAGGAAGCACAUUCAGGUCGAUUAUGCAGGGAAGCUAUCCAUCAUCAGCUGAAGAGAUGAAUAAUGGAUUCUUUUUCAUGACAGGUAGAUGUUUUUCCUAGAAAUAAGAUGACUGCCUUUGAAGCAGACAAAACAUUACUGUAUCAUUUUAUUUGCUCCUGGGAAAUACGAGUGAUAGAUUGAGGCAAGGCAGAUAAUAUUAAAAGAAAGGCAGAUAAAGGAGUGAGCAUUAUUAGGUGUUGAUCAGAAAUUCACUAAGAAUAAAUGCAGCAAAAACAAAUUAGGCUAAGAUACUGUCCAAAUGAGGAACAAAUUCAAACAAACCACAUGUACAGAGUUGAUGUGUUUUAAUGUGGUUAAUGCUCCAAAAAAUGUACCUUUUCAACAAAUUAGGGAGUUGUACCAAAGUGAGCCUCUAAAGAGUGAAAUAAUUGCAACAAAAAGCAGAAGUACAUGUAAUAAAUGAGCUGUUUUCUGAAUUCUAAGACUUUUGUUGGACAGAGAAAACAGCAUGACCUUUGAUGCAGCCUUAGUGUGUGUAGGUGGAAGUGAGACUAGAGGAGAAAAGAAGUGUGAUGUGCUACAGCUAAACUGGACGUUGCAUCUGCUCAACAAAUUUUAGUAAAGGCAUGUGUUGUAGAAGUAGCUUAUUAUUAAUAUAUAUUAUAUAAUUUUCAUGGAUUGUUGCCUACUUCCCAUUGAACAGUGAGUGGGGGAUGACCAGAAGGAAUCACUUAGCUGAUAUACUGAGUGCCCUCAGUUGUAUAAGAGGCAGCUGGGAUUGGGUGGGUACAGUUGUGGAAAGUGGUUGCUUGAAUGAGGGUGGGGGAAAAUUGGGUUGGUGUUCUGGUUUUCUGAACUAAGUGCAGUGCUCUUGGUUAGCUGAUAAUGUUAUGUAUGUCUCUAUAGUGUUAAAUAUAGACUACAAAGUUGCUACAGAGGGGUAUCAGUGUUAGCACAACAGUGUCUUGCUUUGCAGACUAUGUGGUCUAACUGCAGUUUUUCUCUAGUGUGUUUUAUGCCUUUGUUACUGCCUAAAAUCUGACAGUCCAACAGUGGAAAUAUGCUAUUUCAUGUGCAGAGUACCAGCUGGAUGCAGGGAAUCACUGCUAAUAUAUCUAGGAAUUCUUAUGCCUUGUUAGCAUUUGUCAAUCUUAAAAAUAACAAGGGACUUUAUUGUAACUGUACAUUAUCUAACUCCAUCUCAAAUCUGCAUUUUGCUCAGUCUUCUCUUUAGAGGGAGGAAUAAAAGGGCUAAAUGUAGUACAGGAGGUACAGCUGUGAAUGAAAGUACAGAAGAGACUUGUUCAAUUUCCUGCAUGCUACAGAAAACCUUCUAUUUACUAUUUUUUCAUCUGACCAUACGUGAACUUUGUUAUCUUGUAAGCCUGGAGACACCAUUUUCAUAGGCUAGCAUAUCCACCCUUGUCAGUGAAGGAGCUGAAAGCAGGCCUUUGCUUGCCAUUACAAUCCCUUGAGUCAUACAGCUGAGUCUCUUCUGUUGUGGGCCUCUCUAGCAUCAGCUUCUUGAUAGCAGAAUGUUCUUGUGGCGUUUCUAUUCUACUUCUCUUACUGAGAAAUUCAGUCUGUGACUGAGUAAUGUUCCUAGAAUUUUAGUAUUUUGUCUUUUUUUGGUCCUCUUGUGUGAGUUUAUCAGUGUUGGGCAGCUGUUAACUGUGAGAUUCAGGGGCUGAGAGUUGCAGGACUGACCUUCAGAUGGAAGGGAUGAAUUCUUUAACAGCACCAAAGACAAAAAGCAUGUUCUCAUGUGCUGUGGGAUUCUGUCUCCAGAACCAAUGGAAGGCAAGUCCUGUUCUAACCACCUUAAAACUGUAGAUAAAAUCAGCCUAGGGACUUUCUUAGCUGGCUGCAUAAAGUCUUACAGUUAGGUUGGCUUGUAUUUAUCUUUCAAGGGGCAUUGGUUAGUGGACUGACUAAUACUGGGGUAUUACAACUGAAUAUCUCAUGCAUAAAGAGAAAAGAGGUAUAUGAGGUCAGUAAUUGCAUGAGCACUUCUAUAGGCAAUGCUAAUGUGGGGAGACACGUACUGUUUGGUCACUCCACAUCAAGGAGAUGAAAGAAUAAAACAAUCACCCCCAAAAAACCUAAACUCAAAAUCUUCAGAGCUAUCUAGCACAACAGGACUGCUCUUAUUCAAUAGGCUGAAAUUUUAUGUGUUAUGUGCCUGGAUUCUAUUUAGAAACCAGGAGAAAGCAACCGUGCCUGCAACCAUAGAGACAGAGGAAGUAUCUCAAGGAAAUGAGUAUUUCCUAUACUAUGUUCAAAGUUCAUUUUAUUAUUAGUGGUCUCUCGAAACAAGCUGCGGGUGCAUGGGAAGCUAAGUAUUUUAGAUAGCUCUGUGAUCAUCUUGUAUUCAAUCUUCAUUACCACAGCAUGCUUCUGCAGAACGCUUGUAUGGAAAAAAAAUUAAUUAUUCAACUAAAGCAACUGUUUAUCAAUGUACAAAAAGAACUGUGGCUUGGUGUUUUAACAAAAUGCUCUUCCUGAUCAAUGACAAUACUUGCCUUUACACUAAAGGUAUGUAGCCUAUGAGGGGAGAAGUUGGCAGUUGGACAGGAAGAGUUGAUGGAAUACAUAGUAGCUUGAUCAGUCAAAUAGCAAAAUGGUGAGAGACUGGGAUGCUGGUUUGCUCUUGUGCUCACUGAAAAACUUCAUCUGUUUAAGAACACAGGGUACAGCAGUGGGGUAGCUCAACUAGAAUGGGGAAAAGGAAAAUUAAAGGUAUGCUAAAAAACAUAUGGUAUGGGACUGUAACACCAAGAUGUUUGUGUACUCCUCCAGUAAAGACCAACCUGAGGUGUAGCAAUUUAUCUGGUUACAGUAUAUGCUUCCUGAGACUGAGAACAAAGUCCUGCUUCCCUACAAAAUAAUCUGUGCUGUACCUUCCAGCAGCUGGGUCUGGGCACGUUCUCAAUACAUCCUGAUGUCAAUAUAGGUAUAUUCAGCCUUUACACUUUGCUGAGAUAUGCUAUGCAGUGAUCACAUGCUUUAAACAGACUGUUGAUGAUUCAGUGUGUUGAAAUCUAUUAUUGAUAUUGCAUGGUACAGUAGAACCCUGGAUUCUGUGACUAGCAUCCAAGUCACACAGUGAUGCUUACCAGUGUGUGCUGGGGGUGGUGGGCUGUUCUGAGAGCUUGGUUACAGGAGGGGGAGUAACCAAGUUCGUUUCUAUGGAAACUCAGACAUUUUUGUAUCAAAUUGCUUCUGGCUGUCAGUUACAUCUCUGUAUAUGAGGAGGUAUCUUACGCAGAUCAUGAUAUUUUCUUCUGCAUCAGCUGUGCCCAAAAUAAACUAGAACUUGCUGGUGUCGGGUAUCCUAAUGCUGUUUAGCUUGCUGCCAUAUGGACAGGUGGUUCAAGCCUGGUGGGGGUCCAACACUUUCUUAGAAUUGUGGGAUAAUUCAGGCUGGAGAGAACCUUGGGAGGUCUCUAGUCCAGUCUCCUGCUCAAAGCAGAGAGAACUUAAAAGUCAGGUCGGGAUGCUGAUAGCUGUAUCUAGUUAAGUGCAGAAUAUUCGUCCUUUGUGAUAUUUGGAAAACUGAGUGCUUGACCAUCAGACUUGUUUUCUUUUUUAUUCUGUCUGAAUUCCAUUCCUGCAGGUUAUGGGAUUUGCCCUUUCAUCCUCACUCUGUGCAUCGAAGGGAAUGCAACAGCCAUGCCCUAAGGCUUCCCACACCUCCCUAUCUCCCAAAGGAGUAGGAAGAAUUAGGAUCUAAGCCAGCCUUCAGCUGACAGCCUGAUAUGAGACAGCAAGAUACAACACUAGAACAAAAUGCUAGUUAUGCUGACUCUCAGGGGUUGCAAAUGUGAAUAGGCAGAACCUGGCGAGGUACCAGAAUUCAACAGGGCAGAGGGCAUGCAAACAAAUAAAUCAACUAGUCAGGGAGCGUGUAGAGUGGGGAGGCAGCUGGGUGCCUGCCAAAAUAGCUGAGAAAAACAGAUGUAAUGCCACAAACAAUGCAAACUGAAAAGCAAAACUAUUGUUCAGCAUAACUGGAGUGCAAAUACUGGAAUGAUUUACCAACUAUACCAUGAUUUGCAAUAGGAAUUUGUGAGUUUGUUUGCUAUGUAAGAAUGUGAGUAUACCAUUUUGUGUAGACAGAGUUAAGUUAGUUGCAUGGCUUUUGAAGAAAAUCGAAAGACAGGAGAUAUGAAAGAAAAACAAGCUUUGUGCAGCAGUGCUUAUUUCACAAUUAUCCCUCCAUGCAGUCACAACUGUGUGAAAAAAAUAUAUAUCUUCCCAAAGUACCUUUUAACUUAGGGAAUCUUCUACAAGUAGGGGAAAUAACCCAAACAAUUACUUUAGUCUAAGGUCCUCACAAAAAGAAACAGUGGCAUCUGGUACCACGUGGCAUCUCAGUUUUAGUUCUGAGCACUCAGUGAUGGGAGUUACAAUUUUGGUAGGCCCACACACGCCAUCUUCUUUAAGUCACCAAUGCAGACAUGCAAGCACAUUCCUCCGAGCUGAAUUUCUGAGUCAUUUUCAGUUUCUAGCAUUAGUAGUAUACUUGAAGUGUGGGAGGAAACCUAAAGGUGUAGUUUGGGAAACAGCUUCUGCAAAUGAUGCUGUCUCACAAAUGUUGAUAUUCAUUCCUUUCAGAAACAAACAUUUGUUUUUUUUCCCCCCGUGCCUUUUACAAUGUAUUUCUAAGACACACUGAGACUAAAACAUCUCAUUUAACAUAGAUAUGGCAAAACUUCCAUGAAAUCUAUUCGUAUUUAGGCAUAUAAAUAUUUUAAAAGAUUUUUUUUUUCCCCACAAGCAGCAUAACCUAAAGAGCAUGAGCUGCCUAACUGGAAUAUUUUGCCUUACCCACAAACUGAUCAUCUCUUUCCUGUAGCCUGCCCAAAUUCAUGGAGCUGUGAAGUCUUCUGAUGGGUAUUUCUGGAAGGUGCCUUGUGGCCCUAAUAACUACCAAAGAGCUGCUGUUGUGUUUGGAAAAGGAACAGCUAUGUUUAGACAGCAUGUACCUGCCCAUCCUCAAACCUACAUUAAGGCUUCAGCUUUCUCCAGUCUGAGGAUGGAGUGAGGUCCUCAAUGUUUAGCUCUACGUCUACAGAGAUCUAUAAACCUUCCACAGAACCAGGCAUAGUUACUAUGCCAAAACACAGCUGAUCAGUUAGCCAAUGUACGUGCUCUGGGACUCUUGAGAGGCUUGGCGAGCUGGCAAGGCUGCUUUGUUGAACUACUUCAGUCACAUCAUGCAUUUUUAAUUGCCUAAAGUACACGGAAGAAAAAACGUUAAAGAAGUAAUUAGUUCUGUGCCAAAUACAAUUAAGUGACCGGGUGGAGAGCAGAGGGCGCUUCCAACACAUCUAAACAGGAAUUCAUUUGCGCUGC